CCUACGGGUGGCAGCAGUAGGGAAUAUUCCUCAAUGGGCGCAAGCCUGAAGCAGCAAUACCGCGUGAGUGAAGAUGGCCUUCGGGUGGUAAAGCUCUUUUGUUGGAGAAGAAUGUUCGUGAGAGUAACUGAUCAGGCAGUGACGUUAUCCAACCAGAAAGUCACGGCUAUCUCCGUGCCAGCAGUCGCGGGAAUACGUAGGUGGUUAGCAUUAUCUGGUUUGUUUGGGUGUAACGUGAGCUCAGGCGGUUGUUUAGGUUUGAUGUGAAAGCCUUCGGCUAAACCGGAGAAGUGCAUCGGAAACCGGGCGACUUGAGUGCAGAAGAGGAGAGUGGAACUCCAUGUGUAGCGGUGGAAUGCGUAGAUAUAAGGAAGAACACCGAUUGCGAAGGCAGCUGACUGGUCUGCAACUGACGCUGAGGCUCGAAAGCAUGGGUAGCAAACAGGAUUAGAUACCCCAGUAGUC
rnacentral:rRNA from 1 species